GAUGAACGCUGACAGAAUGCUUAACACAUGCAAGUCAACUUGGGGCGGACGGGUGAGUAACGCGUAAAGAACUUGCCUCACCGGUAGGGACAACAUUUGGAAACGAAUGCUAAUACCUAAUACUGUGAGAGAGCUUUGCGUCCCAUUAGCUAGUUGGAGAGGUAACGGCGCACCAAGGCGAGGAUGGGUAGCCGGCCUGGAAGGGUGAUCGGCUACAAGGGGAUUGGGACACGGCCCGUAGUCCUACGGGAGGCAGGAGUGGGGAACAGUGGACAAUGGACCAAAGUCUGAUGAAGCAAUUCUGUGUGCACGAUGAAGUUGUCGGAAGGAAAAGUGCUUUCAGUUGGGAAGCGGUACCAACAGAAGAAGUGACGGCUAAAUACGUGACAGCAGCCGCGGUAAUAC
rnacentral:rRNA from 1 species